rnacentral:rRNA from 1 species
CGAGACUUAGCAGAGAUGCUUUGGUGCCUUCGGGAACUCUGAGACAGGUGCUGCAUGGCUGUCGUCAGCUCGUGUUGUGAAAUGUUGGGUUAAGUCCCGCAACGAGCGCAACCCUUAUCCUUUGUUGCCAGCGGUUAGGCCGGGAACUCAAAGGAGACUGCCAGUGAUAAACUGGAGGAAGGUGGGGAUGACGUCAAGUCAUCAUGGCCCUUACGAGUAGGGCUACACACGUGCUACAAUGGCGCAUACAAAGAGAAGCGACCUCGCGAGAGCAAGCGGACCUCAUAAAGUGCGUCGUAGUCCGGAUUGGAGUCUGCAACUCGACUCCAUGAAGUCGGAAUCGCUAGUAAUCGUAGAUCAGAAUGCUACGGUGAAUACGUUCCCGGGUCUUGUACACACCGAA